AUUGAACGCUGGCGGCAGGCCUAACACAUGCAAGUCGAACGAGUGGCGGACGGGUGAGUAAUGUCUGGGAAACUGCCUGAUGGAGGGGGAUAAAUACUGGCAACGGUAGCUAAUACCGCAUACCAUCGGAUGUUCCCUGAUGGGAUUAGCUAGUAGGUGGGGUAACGGCUAACCUAGGCGACGAUCCCUAGCUGGUCUGAGAGGAUGACCAGCCAGACUGGAACUGAGCUACGGUCCAGACUCCUACGGGAGGCAGCAGUGGGGACUAGUGCACAAUGGGCGCAAGUCGGAUACAGCCAUGCCGCGUGUAUGAAAAAGGCCUUCCGGUUGUAAAGUACUUUCAGCGGGGAGGGGUUACCCGCAGAAGAAGGACCGGCUAACUCCGUGCCAGCAGCCGCGGUAAUAC
rnacentral:rRNA from 1 species